UCUUUAGUCUCAGAUAUUUGGUCACAGUGAUGAGGAAAAUGACUGAUAUACUAGCCCACUGUCAAUCUCCUCUUCUUUGAUCUAUUGGCAAGGUGCCCAGUCACAGGGAUGACCCAGGUCAGCAGUGGCCAUACCCUCCUCUCUGCCAGUGACGGGUCACAUGACUGACUUUGAUGGACAAGAUGAAAGGAUGAUCUGAUACAGAGAAGAGUGAAGCAGUGAAGGACCCUAGGCUGAGAGGCAGAAGUCCUUGGUCUAACCCCAGCUCUGCCUCUGAGAUGCUCUGCAAUCCUGAAAGCUGGAAUGAUCCUCUCCCUGCUCCUCCCAGGAACUCAGAGCAAGUGAAGAUGUCAGCACCUUGGACAGCGCCCAACCCAUUCCAGGACUCUGAGCCAGAAAACGAAGCUCUCCAACU